rnacentral:rRNA from 1 species
ACGAGAUCAUGGCAGGUGACUGGAGUUCAGACGUGUGCUCUUCCGAUCUAACUCACCAAGGGCGACCAUUACAUGAAAGCCAGGCUAAUGACCUUGCUAGAUUUUUGGAGAGGUGGUGCAUGGCCGUCGUCAGUUCGUACCGUAAGGCGUUCUCUUAAGUGAGAUAACGAACGAGACCCUCACUGAUAAUUGCUAAUCUAUUCUCCGGAGUAGAUGCACAUUAUUGGGACCGCUGACGCUAAGUCAGAGGAAGGAGAGGUCAACGGUAGGUCAGUAUGCCCCGAAUCUCUUGGGCUACACGCGCGCUACAAAGGGCGGGACAAUGGGCUCCGACGCCGAGAGGCGAAGGUAAUCUCGAAACCCGUCCAUAGUUCGGACUGAGGGUUGUAACUCACCCUCACGAAGCUGGAUUCCGUAGUAAUCGCGAAUCAACAACUCGCGGUGAAUAUGCCCCUGCUCCUUGCACACACCGCCCGUCAAACCAUCCGAGUUGGGUUUCAGUGAGGUGGCCUUUAAUUGGGGUCUUCAAACUGAGAUUUAGCAAGGAAGGUUAAGUCGUAACAAGGUAUCUGUAGGGGUAGAUCGGAAGA